GACAGAGGGUGCAAACGUUGUUCGGAAUUACUGGGCGUAAAGCGCACGUAGGCGGAUACUUAAGUUAGGGGUGAAAUCCCAGAGCUCAACUCUGGAACUGCCUUUAAUACUGGGUAUCUCGAGUCCGAGAGAGGUGAGUGGAAUUCCGAGUGUAGAGGUGAAAUUCGUAGAUAUUCGGAGGAACACCAGUGGCGAAGGCGGCUCACUGGCUCGGUACUGACGCUGAGGUGCGAAAGCGUGGGGAGCAAACAGG
rnacentral:rRNA from 1 species